GGAGGUGCCGUGGCUCAGUGGAAGAGCCUCUGUUUGGCAUGCAUGAAGUCCCAGGUUCAAUUCUGGCAUCUCUG
rnacentral:tRNA from 1 species